CUCAUAUUACUGAAGUGCACUAAGAAAAUAUUUGAUUGCUUGCCACCAAAAAGGCUUCAAUUUGGAGAAUAUUUAUGGAGUCAUUUAUCUGUAUGCAAUGUACCGUUGGGUGUCGAUCAUUAUAAUGAGCGCUUACAAAUUUAUCUACAAAAUGAUUAUAAUUUUUCACCUAUGAAUUUCUUACAAAAAAUGGAGGAAACUAGAAUAUGGCCAAAUAUUGCAACGUAUAGGUGGUGUAUUGAAUAUUAUAGCAGGA